rnacentral:rRNA from 1 species
UACGGGGGGGGCAAGCGUUGUUCGGAAUUACUGGGCGUAAAGGGCUCGUAGGCGGCCAACUAAGUCAGACGUGAAAUCCCCAGCUCAACCUGGGAACUGCGUCUGAUACUGGUUGGCUUGAAUCCGGGAGAGGGAUGCAGAAUUCCAGGUGUAGCGGUGAAAUGCGUAGAUAUCUGGAGGAAUACCGGUGGCGAAGGCGGCAUCCUGGACCGGCAUUGACGCUGAGGAGCGAAAGCUAGGGGAGCAAACGGG